UAUCCGGUUCGCGCAACCAGAAAUGCGAAUGGAGUUUCGUGCGUUCCUGGAAACAGUUCGUCCAACAGAGAAGUGACUCCCGAGGGUAAUUAAGCGAAAUGUAGUUAAUGAGGUUAAUGGAAAAAAAAUACUCGCAGGAAGGAAGGAAGGAAGGAAGGAAACGUAAAAAGGUUAAAGACUGACCUCCAUAGCGGGCGUCGGUGAAAGCAAGUAUCGAUUAAUUAUGCGCACCACUAUCUUGGAAAAUCCUCCGCCGCAAUUCGUUUUCACAAAGCAAUGAACUGAAAAAUCCUGGCUGACAAUUUUAUUUGUUGUGGGAUUAUUGAUUGCGUAGACAUUUUAAUGGAAUAGAUGACACCAGAACUACGCUUAAAAAAGGAAAUGAUAAAAAUUCACGGAGUUGAACGACACGUUUGCGUGUGCCCCGCGACAUGCAUGCGCGGACCGACAAAGUUUUACUUGCAAAUUUCAUUGUAAAGGCGCGGUGAUCGAUGACUGACAAAGAUGUCCUCUGAACCGGAGACGCCUUCGUUUGUAUUUUUCAUUGCGAAGGAAAGAGAAAGAUUUAUAGCCGCGUCGAUUCGCAUGACAUACCAUGGAAUAUACGUAGCCAUCGACGCCAUUGUUCAACGCAACGAGUUUUUAUUUGACAGACUACUCCGCGAAACGAGCAUAAUACACGCUCCUGCUUUUUACGAGUAUUUACCGACCGAUUUCCGAAAAUUCUUUUUGCUGCCGUUCUUGCGUUCCCGUCCCUUUUGAUCUUACCAUCCCCAGGGAAGCUUUCAUUUCUCAUUUUAUUAGUUCCUAUAGUCAGUCGGCUCCACUUUUUCCUCGCAGCGUUUAUUUUUCGGAAAACUGAUGUCCAUAGGUGCACAGUAAAAUAUUCAAUCCUUUAAACGCUCAAUUUUCCUGUGCUAGAUGUAUACAGAAUUCAGCAUAUUUUAUUCCAAUAACGUAUAAAAUGUUAUUCGCAGAAUUUAUUCGAAUAAAAUUUUAUUUGACAUAUUA